ACCAGCAGCCAUAUUACCCUGCAAUACACAACUGAAAACCCACUGAAGCUAAGCAGGUGUGAGCCCGGUCAGUACCUAGAUGGGAGACCUCCUAGGAAAAAUGAAUGUUGCUGCUGGAA
rnacentral:rRNA from 1 species